GUCCGUGUAUGAAUGGCUGUGAUGAAUAUCGAUGGGCACGUGGCAGCAAUCCGAUAAAUUUACAGCUGGGUUCCAUUAAUUCCCCGAGAUGUGCGAUCAAGCGCGUAAAAAAGGUCGGGGGUGAUGAUAGCGGAAACUCAGCACGAAAGGAGGUCAAGUUCCAGUCUUCGGCUGGCUGUCGCUCGCGGCUCCCAACCCAAAGUCCUUUUCCGGGGGAAGAUUUCCGGAAAAGCGAUACCGCGUAAGUCCACAUACUCCCUCCCAAAAACCCUCAGCAACGCUUCCCCCUCUCCCCUCUCGUUCGCAAGACCUGAUCCGAAAGCCCCUUCUUUCCCUUGAUUUGUCGCUCUUCCAGUCGAAAUUUUCUUCUAUCGAUGGUUGAGGACGGGAUCUUUUUCUCGAUUCGCAGGCCUAGAGGUAGUUAUCUGUUCAAAUCCCUAUCUUGUUCCCAUUAAUUUCAGUAGAAAAUUGUUUUUCGUGGUUCUCAAUUUUUUUUCCCGUUGAAGGCCUUUACUUUGUGCAAUAUUUUAAGUUUUAAUAAUCAAAAACCCUAAAAGCAAUCUCCUUUGUUGAAAUGUUGGAAUUUUUAUGCUUAAAUUUGUGUUAGAUUUCUGGGUCCAACUACGAGUUUAUCGAAUAUGGUGUCUCAAGAUAGAAG
rnacentral:lncRNA from 1 species